rnacentral:rRNA from 1 species
AGAAUCAACGCUGGCGGCGUGCCUAACACAUGCAAGUCGAACGAGAAAGUGGGAGCAAUCCCACGAGUAAAGUGGCGCACGGGUGAGUAACACGUGACUAACCUACCCUUGAGUGGGGGAUAACCUAGGGAAACCUGGGCUAAUACCGCAUAAUACCUACGGGUCAAAGGAGCAAUUCGCUUAAGGAGGGGGUCGCGGCAGAUUAGUUAGUUGGCGGGGUAAUGGCCCACCAAGACAGUGAUCUGUAUCCGGCCUGAGAGGGCGCACGGACACACUGGAACUGAAACACGGUCCAGACUCCUACGGGAGGCAGCAGUGGGAAUUUGCGCAAUGGGGGAAACCCUGACGCAGCAACGCCGCGUGGAGGAUGAAGCCCCUUGGGGCGUAAACUCCUUUCGAUCGGGAAGAUAAUGACGGUACCGGAAGAAGAAGCCCCGGCUAACUUCGUGCCAGCAGCCGC